GGGCCGGUAGCUCAGCUGGAAGAGCGUUCGGUUCGCAACCGAAAGGUCCCGGGUUCAAAUCCCGGCCGGUCCA
rnacentral:tRNA from 1 species